ensembl:lncRNA
CUUAUAUUUUUAUAUGUACACAAGACCUCCGGAAAUAAAUAAAUUUAAAUUAUUUAAACAAAUCAGAAGCCGAAAAGAAUGUGUUAAUGGCUUUGGUAAAUAAAUGUAUGUCUACGCAUGAAGUAAAAGCUUAUGAUAAAAAGUUACCUAUCGCAAACUUUCCUGCUCAAAACAAAGCGCGACAGAAGGCUUGACCCAAGGUGGACACUCAACUAUUUCUGGGGUGGGUAAGUGAAUUCAAAAAAUGACUAUGUAAAUAUAUGUAGUUAAUCACUUGGGGAGAUGUAUACCACAGAGAGACCAACUUUUGGUUUCAAACAGCACACCUGGAUUUACCUUAUUUUUUAAUGGGCAAAAAAGGAAUAUUAAAACUGAAAACUUUAAAUGAUAAAGCUCUAAAUUGAAAGAUUAGAAAGUACAGAGUAUUCCAACCUAACCCCAUAGUCCUCCCUGUUUCCUUAAUGUAUAUUUUGUAUUUGAUUAAUGAGAUGCAUUUGUAACAAUUUUUUGUUUCUUGAAACAGGGUUUGCUGUGAGUUCAAGGUCAGCAAUUCUCCUGCCUCAGCCUCCUGAAGGCUGGGAUGACAGGCAUGCUCCACCAUGCCCAGCUGCAUUUGUUACAACUGAUAACCACUACUGAUAUACUAUUAUAGACUAAAGCCUACAAUCUACAUUAUAUUAACUCUUUGGUUUUCUGUUUUAACCUAGUUAAAUGGAAUCGUUUCAUUCAUAACUCAUUUUCAGGCACAUGUAGAAGGAAUUCUUGGAUUAGAUUGAACCAAAGUCAGUGAAAAAUGAGCAGCUGGACCACUCACUGGUUUUGUGGGGAUUUCCCUGUGUUAUAAGAUCUUGAAAGCCAGCCGCGACCCUAAUCUCCCACUUCCAAAGCUGGGGGCUCUGCUCCUGGGACAGCAGGCGUGACAGUACUGGCAGCUGUUUUGUCUGCACGCCUGUGAGCCCAUGAAGGUAAGACCGUGUGGCAUUUGGCAUCCCAGAGUUAUUAAUAACAUUCUCUGAAGAGUUAAAGCCUUUUUACAUUUUUCUUAAUCUUCACACCAUGCUGAAUCCUUACGGUUUGGUCCCCUAACAACUUAACAUACCUCCAAAGCCAAACGAAGUAACUGUGUUCACACUUCUUUUUGCAAGUAUAUAUAGCACAGCGAUUCUCAAGGUGGCUCUGGCCAAGGACUACAUUAUCUUUUCC